GGAAGUAAAAGUCGUAACAAGGUUUCCGUAGGUGAACCUGCGGAAGGAUCAUUACUGAUUUGGCGGACCGAGCGUCAGCGAGGUACCGCGAUCGCCUGUAUUUAAAACCCACACUUGAAUUAUAUGUAUAUUUUUGUAUUUUUUAAAAUGAUAAAAAAAGAGAUCACUUUCAACAACGGAUCUCUUGGCUCUCGCAUCGAUGAAGAACGUAGCGAAGUGCGAUAAGUAAUGUGAAUUGCAGAAUUCCGUGAAUCAUCGAAUCUUUGAACGCAAAUUGCACUCUCUGGUAUUCCGGAGAGUAUGCCUGUUUGAGGGUCAGUUAAAUAAAAAUCGUUGUUGUUGCCGCUUUUCGUGGUGACGCGUCGGAAUUGAGUUGUCUUACCUUCGGUUAAGUGACUUAAAAUUUUGUAUGAUUUUCGAACGUAUUUAAAUUUAUUUGAACGUUUGAUAUCGAAUGCUUAUUAGGUUCGGUCAUCCUCAUGACUCGCGCCUAUAAUUUUUCAUUAAAUGACCUCAAAUCAGGUAAGAAUACCCGCUGAACUUAAGCAUAUCAAUAAGCGGAGGA
rnacentral:rRNA from 1 species